rnacentral:misc_RNA from 1 species
AGCAGCCGCGGUAAUUCCAGCUCCAAUAGCGUAUAUUAAAGUUGUUGCAGUUAAAAGCUCGUAGUUGAAUUUCGGGGUCAGCAAGUUGGUCGUGCCACUGGUAUGCACUGGCUUUGCUGAUUCCUCCUUCUUGAAGAACUGUAAUGCUAUUAAUUUAGUGUUGCAGGGAAACAGGACUGUUACUUUGAAAAAUUGAGUGUUUAAAGCAGGCUAACGCUUGAAUACAUUAGCAUGGAAUAAUGAAAUAGGACGUUUGAUCCUAUUUUGUUGGUUUCUAGGAUUGACGUAAUGAUUAAUAGGGAUAGUUGGGGGCAUUAGUAUUCAAUUGUCAGAGGUGAAAUUCUUGGAUUUAUUGAAGACUAACUACUGCGAAAGCAUUUGCCAAGGAUGUUUUCAUUAAUCAAGAACGAAAGUUAGGGGAUCGAAGACGAUCAGAUACCGUCGUAGUCUUAACCAUAAACUAUGCCGACUAGGGAUCGGAUGAUGUUAAUUUUUAUGUACUCAUUCC